rnacentral:rRNA from 1 species
UACGAAGGGGGCUAGCGUUGUUCGGAAUUACUGGGCGUAAAGCGCACGUAGGCGGACAUUUAAGUCAGGGGUGAAAUCCCGGGGCUCAACCCCGGAACUGCCUUUGAUACUGGGUGUCUGGAGUCCGGAAGAGGUGAGUGGAAUUCCGAGUGUAGAGGUGAAAUUCGUAGAUAUUCGGAGGAACACCAGUGGCGAAGGCGACACACUGGCCCAUUACUGACGCUGAGGCUCGAAAGCGUGGGGAGCAAACAGG